rnacentral:rRNA from 1 species
AGUGAACGCUGGCGGUAGGCCUAACACAUGCAAGUCGAACGGCAGCACAGUAAGAGCUUGCUCUUACGGGUGGCGAGUGGCGGACGGGUGAGGAAUACAUCGGAAUCUACUUUUUCGUGGGGGAUAACGUAGGGAAACUUACGCUAAUACCGCAUACGACCUACGGGUGAAAGCAGGGGAUCUUCGGACCUUGCGCGAUUGAAUGAGCCGAUGUCGGAUUAGCUAGUUGGCGGGGUAAAGGCCCACCAAGGCGAGGAUCCGUAGCUGGUCUGAGAGGAUGAUCAGCCACACUGGAACUGAGACACGGUCCAGACUCCUACGGUAGGCAGCAGUGGGGAAUAUUGGACAAUGGGCGCAAGCCUAAUCCAGCCAUACCGCGUGGGUGAAGAAGGCCUUCGGGUUGUAAAGCCCUUUUGUUGGGAAAGAAAAGCAGCAGGUUAAUACCCCGCUGUUCUGACGGUACCCAAAGAAUAAGCACCGGCUAACUUCGUG